UGAACCUGGUUGAUCCUGCCAGUAGUCAUAUGCUUGUCUCAAAGACUAAGCCAUGCAUGUCCCAGCAUAAGCUUUUACAUUGUGAAACUGCGAAUGGCUCAUUAAAACAGUUAUAGUUUCUUUGGUAAUUAUUCGUUACAUGGAUAACAAUAGAAAUUCUCGAGCUAAUACAUGCACCCAGACCUUACUCAACG
rnacentral:rRNA from 1 species